rnacentral:rRNA from 1 species
UACGAAGGGGGCUAGCGUUGCUCGGAAUCACUGGGCGUAAAGGGUGCGUAGGCGGGUCUUUAAGUCAGGGGUGAAAUCCUGGAGCUCAACUCCAGAACUGCCUUUGAUACUGAGGAUCUUGAGUUCGGGAGAGGUGAGUGGAACUGCGAGUGUAGAGGUGAAAUUCGUAGAUAUUCGGAAGAACACCAGUGGCGAAGGCGGCUCACUGGUCCGGUACUGACGCUGAUGUGCGAAAGCGUGGGGAGCAAACAGG